rnacentral:tRNA from 3 species
GCCCAGGUGGCGGAAUUGGUAGACGCGCUGGCUUCAGGUGCCAGUGGCCUUAAGGUCGUGGAAGUUCGAGUCUUCUCCUGGGCACCA